GUUUUUUGAGUUCUUCAAUAUUUGCAAAUUAAUUGGCAUGACUUGAAAUUUGCCAUAUCUUUGUUACCCAUUACAAAAUAGUUCCAUUUUUCAUUUUCAAAUUAAUAUAUGAAGCGAAACUGCUAUUUGGAUCUUCGUCUUCAGUCUUCGUCUCCUCAUCCCUAUCGUUCAAUGCAAGCAAUCUGGACUCUUUCUUUUCAGUAUUUUCGUUACGAUUCCCUUCAUUUGUAUAUCUCAGGAAUUAAGCAAGUGGGAUUCUUCUUACGUUAUUUGCUAAUUCUUCUCAUUUUCUGUAAGAUUUUUGUAGGAAUAGGACGUUGAACAUACACAAUAAACUUGUAGCUAUUCUUCAUAAUGGACGCCAAUGCAUUUUUGACACGGCAGAACUUCAGGCAAGAGUGAUAAUAUGGUUAGCAAGUCGAGAAAUGGAGGGAAGCACAGGCUUGCAUUCUGAAACCUUAUUAAUACAUGUCUCGCGAGGCCUUUCCAUAAAGAAAUCACUUCAAAAUUUCCUUCAGAGGAGAAUCAGAAAGAAAAGGUCUCAGCCACAUCUCCCUUGUAACCCAAAAUGACAAAAAUAUGAAUUAAAUCCUAGCUUGUUCCCCUCUGGGGGCAGGAAAAAUCCAGAUCUGCACGAGUAUAAUACUAUCUGGUCUGGCACAUUUCUUGAAUGAAGAAAGGCUCUGCCAACCCACCACCACGACAGCUUUGUUAAUGUCACUGCAACAUAAUAAUUCAGAUUUGCGUGCUUGGGCAAAAUAGACCUGACUAUCUGGUCUUGAUGAUGUGCAUCUUAUUUUAGAUUAACUCUUGGCUAGUGAGACUUUCGUGUCUCAUUUGUAGGUUGUUGUGCAUUUCUAAUUCAUUCCACUGCAAAAACCAGUAAACUCCAGUCCAAUAUGUGUAUUAAUACACAGGAAUGAGUCGAUUAGUAGUUAUAUAUUUUUUUGGUAUAACAUGCAUAAUAUGGAUUUGCAAAUGCUGAAGACUUUAAUGAAGCGGUUAUAAUA